AACGAACGCUGGCGGCAUGCCUAACACAUGCAAGUCGAACGAAGUCUUCGGACUUAGUGGCGCACGGGUGCGUAACGCGUGGGAAUCUGCCCUUGGGUGCGGAAUAACUUCUCGAAAGGGAUGCUAAUACCGCAUAAUGUCGUAAGACCAAAGAUUUAUCGCCCAAGGAUGAGCCCGCGUAAGAUUAGCUAGUUGGUGGGGUAAAAGCCUACCAGGGCGACGAUCUUUAGCUGGUCUGAGAGGAUGAUCAGCCACACUGGGACUGAGACACGGCCCAGACUCCUACGGGAGGCAGCAGUGGGGAAUAUUGGACAAUGGGCGAAAGCCUGAUCCAGCAAUGCCGCGUGAGUGAUGAAGGCCCUAGGGUUGUAAAGCUCUUUUACCAGGGAUGAUAAUGACAGUACCUGGAGAAUAAGCUCCGGCUAACUCCGUGCCAGCAGCCGCGGUAAU
rnacentral:rRNA from 1 species